AUCGCUUCCUUAUCUUAACUAUAUCACAAAUUUAUCUUAUAUUACAGAUCGUAUUUGAAAAUAUCUACUAUAACUCAUGGCUUAUUUUCGAAAUGAAGUUCAUCAUAUUUCUCGGCUUAACAAAUUUAGUCUGUGGUAUAAAUUUAAGUGAAACGUUUAGGAACAGCGCUUUCGGAUAUCAUGCCAGGGUCGGAAUUCCUUUAGCUGAAAGAAUACAAAGAGAUGAAAAUAAUUAUUUCAAUUCUAGAAUUGUUGGAGGUGUACCAGCCGUCGCUGGACAAUAUCCUUUUAAAGCCGGACUAAUUGGAGAUAUAAUUGGAUUUGAUGGUGUUAGCGUGUGCGGUGGAUCCCUUAUCCAUCCUUCAAAGGUUGCUACAGCUGCGCACUGCUGGAAUGACGGUGAAAACCAAGCAUGGCGUUUUACCGUCGUGCUUGGUUCUAGCUUAUUGUUCAGCGGCGGAACGAGACUUGCUUCAAGCGUUGUUGUCGCUCAUCCAGAUUGGAACCCUAAUUCGGUUCAGAAUGAUGUUGCUGUGAUAUAUUUAACCUAUGAAGUAGAAACAUCAAGUAUCAUUACACCUAUCGCUUUACCAUCCGGUCCUGAACUGUUUGAAAAUUUUAAAGGAGAAGCGGCAAUUGCCAUUGGAUUUGGUAUCACGAGUAAUGAUAACGGCAUUUCAUCUAAUCAGUUCUUAAGUCAUGUGCGCUUGACUGUAAUUUCGAAUAAUAUUUGCAAUUUGGUGUUCCCGUUUAUUUUGCAAGCAUCCAACAUCUGUACCAGUGGUUUUGGAUUUAUUGGUACUUGCGGUGGAGACUCCGGUGGUCCUCUUAUUACUUACAGGAAUAAUGAGCCUAUAUUAGUAAGUAGCCUUUGUUAAAUGCUUAUAUCUAGGAUUAGGAGUACUAGUGUAUGCACUAGUACUUGUGUUUGUUGUUUUUUUAGAUUUAAUCUGUUGUAAAUUGAAUUGUUCAUAUUAGUUAAGUGGUUAGUGCACUUUUAACAUGUUAAAGAAUGAUGCAUAUAAAAUAAUAUAUUAUUAAAAAUAAUUCAGACUGAUUAGUCAGAGAUUAGUCAGGCGAGGCGUUAUUUCAUUUGUAAGAAAUAUAUAACUUUUUUUUUAUUGCUUUUAUGGGUGGACGAGCUCACAGCCCAGCUGAAAAAUUGGUAUCCGCCUGAGAUUCGAACACCGAUACAUCGCUCAACACGAAUGCACCGGACGUCUUAUCCGUUAGGCCACGACGACUUCAUAUAACUUUGAUACAACACCUGAUUAAACAAUUGCAAUGGUUAGGUUGUCCAAAUUUCCAAAGGAAGGCGUUUCUGUCGUUACCCUUCUUCAAACUUUAACAGAAGAGCUUGUGUUUGCCGUAGUGAUUUAAAUAUUUACUGAUAUAAUAUUAGUUGCGUAUUCAAACCUUUUAAUCAAUUGCAUAUAAUAAUAAAAAUUUAAACUGUGUUUCUUAAAACACUUCAGUUUGUACAAAGUUUGAAGCAAUUACAUGUUAGUUAUUCUAGCUUUUCUAGUUUUUUCAGUGCUCGUACGAUAAUUUUAAGUAGCUCGUCGCUAUUGAGCUGUUUUGUUCAAAAUACGUAACAGAGAUUUAUUUUCACAGAUUGGCAUUGCAUCAUUCGGUUCGGCCUUAGGUUGUGAAAUCGGCCUCCCGUCUGCUUACUCCAGAGCAACAUCAUAUGUGGACUUCUUCAACCAACACUUAAAACAAUAAUUUUAAAUUUAUAGUUUCCUAAAAAAACAUACAUUUGAUAUCAUUUCACGUAAGAUAAAUCUAGAAGUAAAUCAUAAAUAUAUACUAAAAAAUAAGCAUUUGUUAUUUAAAAUGUAAAUGAAAAUUAUAGUUGUAGUUUUUUUGUUUUAAAUGCAUAAUAAUUAAAAAGAAGGUAUAGUAAUUACGUAUUAAAUUAAAAUUGAUAUUUUUGAGGAUUGGUGUUGUGUGUUUUUACUUUUUCAACCGAGUUGCAACUUUGUGCAGUUUUUGUUAGUACAAUCAGCUAAAUUUUUUGAGUAUAAUGACAAUGUUAUCCACUUUUUUUGCUUUUUAUUGCCCUUUUAGGUAGACUAGCAAACGGCCCACCUGAUGGUGAGUGCCAACCGUCGCAAUGGACGACAGCAAUACCAGGGGCAUCGCCAAUUUGCUGCCUGCCGUAAAGUACUGUCCACAAACCUCAUUUGAAGCAGGACAUAUCCUAGCGCUGACACUUACAGAAAGUCGGAUCAAAACAUGUAACUAGUUAAUAAAAUAAAGUAAUAUGUGAAAAACAAAA